rnacentral:rRNA from 1 species
UAAAGGAAUUGGCGGGGGAGCACUACAACGGGUGAAGCCUGCGGUUUAAUUGGACUCAACGCCGGGAAACUUACCGGGGACGACAGCAGUAUGAAGGCCAGGCUGACGACCUUGCCAGACGAGCUGAGAGGAGGUGCAUGGCCGUCGCCAGUUCGUGCCGUGAGGUAUCCUGUUAAGUCAGGCAACGAACGAGACCCGUGCCCUUAGUUGCCAGCAAGAGGUUACGACCUCGUUGGGAACACUAAGGGGACUGCCGCUGAUAAAGCGGAUGAAGGAGCGGGCCACGGCAGGUCAGUAUGCCCCGAAUCCCCCGGGCCACACGCGGGCUGCAAUGGCGCGGACAAUGGGCUGCGACUCCGAAAGGAGAAGCCAAUCCCGAAACCGCGUCUCAGUUGGGAUUGUUGGCUGCAACUCGCCGACAUGAACGUGGAAUCCCUAGUAACCGUGUGUCACCAUCGCACGGUGAAUACGUCUCUGCUCCUUGCACACACCGCCA